GAUGAAGAACGCAGCGAAAUGCGAUACUUGGUGUGAAUUGCAGAAUCCCGUGAACCAUUGAGUCUUUGAACGCAAGUUGCGCCUCAAGCCAUUAGGUUGAGGGCACGUCUGCCUGGGCGUCACAUAUCGUUGCCUGAUGCCAGUUUCCUCGUGAUGGGUGACUGUGCAGGGCGAAUGAUGGCUUCCCGUGAGCAUUGUUGCCUCAUGGUUGGUUGAAAAUUGAGUCCUUGGUAGGGAGCGCCGUGAUAGAUGGUGGUUGAGUGACGAACGAGACCCAAUCAUGUGAGACCCCUACCGAAUUUGGCCUUCAUGACCCACAUGCGUCUUUGGAACGCUCAUGACGAGACCUCAGGUCAGGCGGGGCUACCCGCUGAGUUUAAGCAUAUCAAUAAGCGGAGGA
rnacentral:misc_RNA from 1 species